GACAGAAGGUGCAAGCGUUACUCGGAAUUACUGGGCGUAAAGCGUCUGUAGGUGUCCUGUCACGUCUGAGGACAAAUUGCGGGGCUCAACCCCGCACUCUUCUUGGAUACGAGCAGGAUGGAGCCACUCAGAGGCAUCUGGAAUGUCGUGUGUAGGGGUAAAAUCCGUAGAUACACGAUGGAACGCCAAAAGCGAAAGCAGGAUGCUGGGGGUGUGCUGACACUCAGAGACGAAAGCGUGGGGAGCAGAGGGG
rnacentral:rRNA from 1 species